AUGUAUGUGUGCAUGUGCAU
rnacentral:ncRNA from 2 species